UACGAAGGGGGCUAGCGUUGCUCGGAAUCACUGGGCGUAAAGCGCACAUAGGCGGAUUGUUAAGUCAGGGGUGAAAUCCUGGAGCUCAACUCCAGAACUGCCUUUGAUACUGGCGAUCUCGAGUCCGGGAGAGGUGAGUGGAACUGCGAGUGUAGAGGUGAAAUUCGUAGAUAUUCGCAAGAACACCAGUGGCGAAGGCGGCUCACUGGCCCGAUACUGACGCUGAGGCACGAAAGCGUGGGGAGCAAACAGG
rnacentral:rRNA from 1 species